rnacentral:rRNA from 1 species
GAGCGGUAACAGGCGUAGCAAUACGUGCUGACGAGCGGCGAACGGGUGAGUAACGCUUCGGAAUCUGCCCAAUGGUGGGGAAUAACCAGCCGAAAGGUUGGCUAAUACCGCAUGAGCCCUACGGGGGAAAGCGGGGGAUCGCAAGACCUCGCGCCGAUGGAUGAGCCGAAGCCGGAUUAGCUAGUUGGUAGGGUAACGGCCUACCAAGGCGACGAUCCGUAGCUGGUCUGAGAGGACGACCAGCCACACUGGGACUGAGACACGGCCCAGACUCCUACGGGAGGCAGCAGUGGGGAAUAUUGGACAAUGGGGGAAACCCUGAUCCAGCGACGCCGCGUGUGUGAAGAAGGCCUGCGGGUUGUAAAGCACUUUUAGUGGGGAUGAAAAGCUCAGGGUUAACACCUCUGGGUCUUGACCUAACCCACAGAAAAAGCACCGGCUAACUCUGUG